rnacentral:rRNA from 1 species
AAAUUUGAAAUCUGGCGUGCUCCGUGCGUCCGAGUUGUAAACUAUAGAGGUGUUUUCCGUGCCGGACCGUGUCCAAGUCCCUUGGAACAGGGUAUCAAAGAGGGUGACAAUCCCGUACUUGACACGACGACCGGUGCUCUGUGAUACGUCUUCUACGAGUCGAGUUGUUUGGGAAUGCAGCUCAAAAUGGGUGGUGAGUUCCAUCUAAAGCUAAAUAUUGGCGAGAGACCGAUAGCGAACAAGUACCGUGAGGGAAAGAUGAAAAGCACUUUGGAGAGAGAGUUAAACAGUACGUGAAAUUGUUGAAAGGGAAACGCUUGAAGUCAGUCGCGUCUGCUGGGACUCAGCCUUGCUUCUGCAUGGUGCACUUCUCAGUAGAUGGGCCAGCAUCGAUUUUUGGUGCCGGAAAAGGGUGAGAGGAAUGUGGCAGCCUAGCUGUGUUAUAGCCUCUUGCCGUACACGGUGCCGGGGAUCGAGGAAUGCAGCACGCCUUUGGUCGGGGUUCGCCCACGCCACGUGCUUAGGAUGCU